GGAAAGACUUGGCAGAUAUUAAACCUUUUAUCAGAGACAGAGGUUACUGUCUCUCCAUUGCUAUCUAUUAUAGGAGAACAGGUCCCAAUCAAGCCCCAGUUGAAGGGGUGAGGCUAGACCAGCUCUUCCUCAGCUAUAGGCAGAGCUGUUUGCAUUGCUGCUGGUGCGACCUGGUGCUGGCGCGAGGCUGAGUUUAUCAGGUGAUAAGGCUCUAGAGCUGUGGGGCACAUGGGGUAGAGUCCAGUGAUGGCUCUGGGGUGAGCCAGGGCCACACACUAGUAGAUGUGGGGGACAGAAUCCCAGAAGCUUAGGAGAAUGCUUCUGAUGGGAUUUUGUUAUUGUUGCAAAUGACACAGUGACCCACAGAGAAAUUCAAGCAAAAAUGGGAAUUUCUUGGGAAGGCCAGGGAUGGAGAUGGCCUCAGGGACUGGAAAUUAUUGUCAGGUUCUUCCUUGGGAGAGGCAGCAUCCAUUGGAGUGUGUGUGUGUGUGUGUGUGUGUGUGUGUGUGUUUCUCUGUGCCUAUAUACCUACCUAUACAUCUAGACACAGUCAUGCAUUGCUGAACAAUAGGGAUAUGUGACAAGAAAUGCCCGAUUAGGCAAUUUCAUCGUACAAACACCAUAGACAGUAUUUAUACAAACCUAGAUGUUAUAUACAACAUCUUUUGCUUUUCUUUUUAGAGACAGGGUCUUGCUCUGUUGCCCAGGCUGGAGUACAGUGGUGUGAUCAUAGCUCACUGCAUCCUCUACCUCCCAGGCUCAAGCCAUCCUCUUGCCUCUAACUCCCGAGUAGCUGGGAUCACAGGCACAAGCCACCACACCUGGCUCUCUAUUUUUUCAUACGAAAAUGUCCCAGCACAUUACUGAAUAUCAAACAUUUCCCCUACUUGAUCUGCAGGGCCAGUAUCAAGUACUGUGUAUCACUUCUGUGUAUGCUCCAUUAUCAGUUUAUGGAACCACUGUCAUGCAUGGGGUCUGUCAUCGACCCAAAUGUUAUUAUGUGGUGCAUGAAAGUAUAUAGAUAGCCAGGCACAGUGGCUCACACCUGUAAUCCCAGUACUUUGGGAGGCCGAGACGGGCAGAUCAUGAGGUCAGGAGAUCAAGACCAUCCUGGCUAACAUGGUGAAUAAAAUACUACUCUCUAUAAUACACGUCUCUACUAAAAUACAAAAAAAAAAAAAAAAAA
rnacentral:lncRNA from 1 species